UGGCUUUGGCUAUCACUCUGGGAUGGACCUGCGGUGCAUUAGCUAGUUGGUAAGGUAACGGCUUACCAAGGCGAUGAUGCAUAGCCGAGUUGAGAGACUGAUCGGCCACAAUGGAACUGAGACACGGUCCAUACUCCUACGGGAGGCAGCAGUAGGGAAUCUUCCACAAUGGGCGCAAGCCUGAUGGAGCAACACCGCGUGAGUGAAGAAGGGUUUCGGCUCGUAAAGCUCUGUUGUUGGAGAAGAACGUGCGUGAGAGUAACUGUUCACGCAGUGACGGUAUCCAACCAGAAAGUCACGGCUAACUACGUGCCAGCAGCCGCGGUAAUACGUAGGUGGCAAGCGUUAUCCGGAUUUAUUGGGCGUAAAGCGAGCGCAGGCGGUUGCUUAGGUCUGAUGUGAAAGCCUUCGGCUUAACCGAAGAAGUGCAUCGGAAACCGGGCGACUUGAGUGCAGAAGAGGACAGUGGAACUCCAUGUGUAGCGGUGGAAUGCGUAGAUAUAUGGAAGAACACCAGUGGCGAAGGCGGCUGUCUGGUCUGCAACUGACGCUGAGGCUCGAAAGCAUGGGUAGCGAACAGGAUUAGAUACCCUGGUAGUCCAUGCCGUAAACGAUGAGUGCUAGGUGUUGGAGGGUUUCCGCCCUUCAGUGCC
rnacentral:rRNA from 1 species